AAUGCGCCUGCAUCUCGCGCUCCCGCGCCUAUCCCGGUAGCGUCUGGGGCUUCGUGCACGAGCGAGGGAGAGAGGGCGCGCGUGGGGG
rnacentral:other from 1 species